CCAUCGAUAGCUCAGUGGGAGAGCGGUGAGGCGGUACCUCACGCGUUCCGGAUUCGAUCCUCGGACGAUGCU